rnacentral:lncRNA from 1 species
UUUUUUUUUUCAAAAAACUUCGAGACCCCAAACUGCAGUCUGGACAGCUUUGGAGCUAAAGUUUUUACUUUCCGGAAGCGUUAUUAACAUUUCUGAACAUAUUUUGUCCGCUGGCAGAGGAAUCGAGUGGAUUAUUAUCGCUCAUUUGGAUGCCCACCAGGGCAACGGAUAUUCAAAGAAUCUGAUGGAUGGACUGACGAUAGAAAGAUGAGGAGUACUUGCAGAAGCUGAUAAUUUUAUUGAGAACCAAUCCGCCCCUAUUCGCCAGCACCGAUGUGCUGAAGAAUGACCUGGUGAGGGUACUGGUUAUCACCAGCCAGGUAGUGGUCGAAAGAGACGAGAUCGUUCAUGAGAUGGACCGCGCCGUGACGCUGCUGAUGCUUCUCAUCCGAGGUGAUUUUCGGAGCUAUGCGUGGAACAUUGUGGACUCGAUUAUUAAUUUGCAUGCCAAAGACUUGCUAAAGGUGAGAUAGUAAUAGAGAAGUAGUUGGCUUCAAAUUAAAUUAAAUAAAACAUUUCAUGUUUGUAUCCUUCAAUGUACCUAUCCUAUUAGUGGUUCUUGAUAUCUAACAAUAAAUGUUGUACAUA